rnacentral:rRNA from 1 species
GGUUAAGUUAGUAAGGGCGCACGGUGGAUGCCUUGGCACUAGGAGCCGAAGAAGGACGUGACAAACGACGAAAUGCCUCGGGGAGCUGUAAGUAAGCGACGAUCCGUGGAUAUCCGAAUGGGGGAACCCAACAGGUAGAUGCCUGUUACCCAUAUCUGUUAAGGAUAUGAGGAGGAAGACGCAGUGAACUGAAACAUCUAAGUAGCUGCAGGAAGAGAAAGCAAAAGCGAUUGCCUUAGUAGCGGCGAGCGAAGAGGCAGGAGGGCAAACCGAAGAGUUUACUCUUCGGGGUUGUAGGACUGCAAUGUGGACUCAGAAUUUAUAGAAGAAUGACUUGGGAAAGUCAGCCAAAGAGAGUAAGAGCCUCGUAUUUUAAAUAGAUUCUGUACCUAGCAGUAUCCUGAGUACGGCGGGACACGUGAAAUCCCGUCGGAAUCUGGGAGGACCAUCUCCCAACCCUAAAUACUCCCUAGUGACCGAUAGUGAACCAGUACCGUGAGGGAAAGGUGAAAAGCACCCCGGGAGGGGAGUGAAAUAGAACCUGAAACCGUGUGCCUACAACAAGUUCGAGCCCGUUAAUGGGUGAGAGCGUGCCUUUUGUAGAAUGAACCGGCGAGUUACCUUAUGAUGCGAGGUUAAGUUGAAGAGACGGAGCCGUAGGGAAACCGAGUCUGAAUAGGGCGCAAUAGUAUCAUGACGUAGACCCGAAACCAUGUGACCUACCCAUGAGCAGGUUGAAGGUGCGGUAAGACGCACUGGAGGACCGAACCAGGGCACGUUGAAAAGUGCUUGGAUGACUUGUGGGUAGCGGAGAAAUUCCAAACGAACUUGGAGAUAGCUGGUUCUCUCCGAAAUAGCUUUAGGGCUAGCGUCGACAUCAAGAUUCUUGGAGGUAGAGCACUGUUUGGGUGAGGGGUCCAUCCCGGAUUACCAAUCUCAGAUAAACUCCGAAUGCCAAUGAAUUAUGGUCGGCAGUCAGACUGCGAGUGCUAAGAUCCGUAGUCGAAAGGGAAACAGCCCAGACCACCAGCUAAGGUCCCAAAAUAAUUGUUAAGUGGAAAAGGAUGUGGGGUUGCACAGACAACUAGGAUGUUAGCUUAGAAGCAGCUAUUCAUUCAAAGAGUGCGUAAUAGCUCACUAGUCGAGUGACCCUGCGCCGAAAAUGUACCGGGGCUAAAACAAUUUACCGAAGCUGUGGAUCCCUUAGGGGAUGGUAGGAGAGCGUUCUAUGUGUGGAGAAGGUGUACCGUGAGGAGCGCUGGAACGCAUAGAAGUGAGAAUGCCGGUAUGAGUAGCGAAAGACAGGUGAGAAUCCUGUCCACCGUAAGACUAAGGUUUCCAGGGGAAGGCUCGUCCGCCCUGGGUUAGUCGGGACCUAAGGAGAGACCGAAGGGUGUAUCCGAUGGCCAACAGGUUGAUAUUCCUGUACUAGAGUAUGAAGUGAUGGAGGGACGCAGUAGGCUAACUAAAGCAGACGACUGGAAGAGUCUGUCUAAGCAGUGAGGCGUGGUAUGAGUCAAAUGCUUAUACCUGUAACGUUGAGCUGUGAUGGGGAGCGAAGUUUAGUAGCGAAGUUAGUGAUGUCACACUGCCAAGAAAAGCUUCUAGCGAUGUAUCAUACUCUACCCGUACCGCAAACCGACACAGGUAGUCGAGGCGAGUAGCCUCAGGUGAGCGAGAGAACUCUCGUUAAGGAACUCGGCAAAAUGACCCCGUAACUUCGGGAGAAGGGGUGCUGACCUGUCUCUUAUACACAUCUGACGCUGCCGACGACGGA